rnacentral:rRNA from 1 species
AGCGAACGCUGGCGGCAGGCUUAACACAUGCAAGUCGAGCGCCGUAGCAAUACGGAGCGGCAGACGGGUGAGUAACACGUGGGAACGUACCUUUUGGUUCGGAACAACACAGGGAAACUUGUGCUAAUACCGGAUAAGCCCUUAUGGGGAAAGAUUUAUCGCCGAAAGAUCGGCCCGCGUCUGAUUAGCUAGUUGGUGAGGUAACGGCUCACCAAGGCGACGAUCAGUAGCUGGCCUGAGAGGAUGAUCAGCGAAACUGGGACUGAGACACGGCCCAGACUCCUACGGGAGGCAGCAGUGGGGAAUAUUGGACAAUGGGCGCAAGCCUGAUCCAGCCAUGCGGCGUGAGUGAUGAAGGCCCUAGGGUUGUAAAGCUCUUUUGUGCGGGAAGAUAAUGACUGUACCGCAAGAAUAAGCCCCGGCUAACUUCGUGCCAGCCGCCGCCGUAACAC